rnacentral:rRNA from 1 species
UACGUAGGGGGCAAGCGUUAUCCGGAUUUACUGGGCGUAAAGUGUGCGUAGGCGCCCCAUUAAGUCGUACUUUAAAUACUAAGGCUUACCCUUAGAACUGAGUACGAUACUGUUGGGGUUGAGGAUUGAUAGGGAAGCUGGAACAGUACGUGUAGCAGUGAAAUGCGUUGAUAUGUACUGGAACACCAAGGGCGAAGGCAGGCUUCUAGAUUUUUCCUGACGCUGAGGCACGAAAGCUAGGGUAGCGAAACAG